rnacentral:rRNA from 1 species
AUGAACGCUGGCGGCGUGCCUAAUACAUGCCAGUCGAGCGAACAGACGAGGAGCUUGCUCCUCUGACGUUAGCGGCGGACGGGUGAGUAACACGUGGAUAACCUACCUAUAAGACUGGGAUAACUUCGGGAAGCCGGAGCUAAUACCGGAUAAUAUAUUGAACCGCAUGGUUCAAUAGUGAAAGACGGUUUUGCUGUCACUUAUAGAUGGAUCCGCGCCGCAUUAGCUAGUUGGUAAGGUAACGGCUUACCAAGGCAACGAUGCGUAGCCGACCUGAGAGGGUGAUCGGCCACACUGGAACUGAGACACGGUCCAGACUCCUACGGGAGGCAGCAGUAGGGAAUCUUCCGCAAUGGGCGAAAGCUUGACGGAACAACGCCGCGUGAGUGAUGAAGGUCUUCGGAUCGUAAAACUCUGUUAUUAGGGAAGAACAAAUGUGUAAGUAACUAUGCACGUCUUGACGGUACCUAAUCAGAAAGCCACGGCUAACUACGUG